CUCGGACAGCGCCCGAUUCUACCCGGGACAGAUGCAGCCUUCCGGCUGUUCCAAAUAAAUGACUAUUGUCUCCCACGAACACCGCCCGAAUGUACCCGGAUAGGCGCGGCCGGUAAGGCUAUUCCAAA